rnacentral:lncRNA from 10 species
UUUUUUUUUGAGAAAGAGUCUUGUCCUGUCGCCUGUGCUGGAGUGCAGUGGUGCAAUACCGGCUCACUGCAACCUCUACCUCCCAGGUUGAAGAGAUUCUCCUGCCUCAGCUUCAGUAGCUGGGAUUACAGGUAUGCGCCACCAUGCCCGGCUAAUUUUUGUAUUUUUAGUAGAGAGGAGGUUUCACCAUGUUGGCCAGGCUGUUCUCAAACUCCUGACCUCAAGUGAUCUACCCGCCUUGGCCUCCCAAGUGCUAGGAUUACAGGCAGGAGCCACCAGCUUGUCUGCUUGGUUUUCUAUUCAUUCACUCAUUAAGAUCUUUCCUGGCUGGGUGUGGUGGC